UCAUUUGUAGAUAAGCUCAGAACUUCUUGAUGAAUUCAUAAAUGUGAUUACUUAUUUCCUCUGCUGCUUCUUGAUUGUUGAAGUGCGCCACUCCUUUUUGGAUAAUCACUUCUUCCAGAUUGGGAACAUCUUCCUUGAAUCCCCCACCAUGGAUAUACUCCUUCAUGUUUAGUGAGGUGUACACCAUAUCCAAAUCACCUGUAAUGAAUUUCACAGGCACCUUGAUUUUCACUCCAUUCCAUGGCGCCAUCAGCUCCCAAUUUCUGCCAUACAAGUAAAAAUGCAUCUUUCAUUAGAAUUGGGAUCUCUGUAUAUGAAACACUAACACAUACAUCGAAAACAACAAUAAACACAAACAUUGGACACGACAUUGACAAGUAAAUACCAGUAACAGUUUUAAAAAUGGAAGUGAUUGAAUAUAACAACAUGUGUCGGUGUUGGAUAUCAACACAUAUCCAACACCGAAACACGUCUUCAAACUGAAAUGUUAAUGCCACAUAGAUUAUUGUCAUGUUGUUCAAACAUUAUACCAAAAAGAAUUGUCAACAUAUAUUUGAGGAAAACAACCAGAGGUAGCACAAAGAAUCAAAAAGAUUACAAGUUAAAGUUUCUGUAGUAGUUCAAUGCUCCAGUGAAGCCUGUUUUCUCAAAUUUGGAGACAAAAUAAGUAAGGUCAUCUUCUGUAAGCCAAGAGGGUAAGGUGUCAGGAGUAUCUGAGUUGAAUCCAGUUCCAAACUCUCCCUUGGGAAAUAUUGGAGGACCAGUUUUCCGAGUUGUGAGGGUACUUUUCAUCACAUAUGCAGUGCCAACUUCAGCCAUCUCAGCUUCCAUUUUGCCUGGUUCCUGUGAUACGGACCAAACGCAAUUAUGUUAUUCAGAUCUAUCAUUACAGCAACUUUCCACUUCAUUUUAGACAAACAAAGAACUUUGUUUCAAAACAUUAUAUUGGAGCUUCACGAGACGAUUCAUUAACUUCUACAUUCAUGACCAUUAUGAUGUCAUACAAUUCUAAAGUUGAUGCAGAUCCAAAAUAAGAGAACUUCACCCUAACGUAUUCAAUAAUCAAUAUUACUCUCUGACAAAAUGCACAACAUGUCAUUCUAUAUUAAGUUGAGUCAUGCUUGCUUUUAGAAUUAACUGAUCAACCAUAAGGUUUCCUCUUUUGAUUUAGACUCUACUUAAAUAAACAUGUUAAUCAAGUAUUAAAUCCACUUGGGUUGGUUUGGUGGUGUUGUCUUGGAACCGGCAUGUGUUCCUUUCAAGGUGAGAGUUCGAUUUUCGCAUGCCAAUUUCGGUCUGCUAGUUUGACAUCUUCAAAAAAAAUCUUGAUCAAGUGCUUAUAGUAGAAGAUAAACUAAAGUUAAACUGUUCUUGUAUAAGUUUUAAGUUAUUUUCACAUACUAUUCGAAGAGCUUAUGAAAAUAAGCAUCUCAAAACAACCUCCUAAAUUCUAUUAAACAAUCUCACAAACCAUAAAUCCUCUCAAAUAAAUCUAUCCAAACAGGCGUUUAGUAAUCCACUAAUCCUACAUCAGUAUCAUGUCAAUAACCCACAUAAAAAACCACUCAAACUAAACUGAUAAGUGUAAUCCCCGAAUUAAGUUAUUAAGUAUUACUCUCUCCUACAUCUAUAUAUAUAAAAUAAAAAAUAAAAAAUAAAAAAUAAAAAGUGAUCUCUAAUAUUUUAUAAUUAGUAAAUCUUGACAUUUGCCAAACUCGUUAGGGAUUGCUUAAAGUAAAUUAGGGGGGCUACAGAGGCAAGGGUAGAAAAGUGGUAAUAAAGAAAUAGAAGAACCUGAAAUCUACAUAUGUAAUAAUCAUCUCCAUAAGCAGCAUGCAUGGCAUCAACGGUCCUGAUUUUGGGGUUUCUACGGAGUAGUGGAACACUGAGACAGACAUAAGCUUUGAUUCUUUCAGGGCGAAACAUACAAAGAUACCAACCAAUGAUAGCACCCCAAUCAUGAGCAACAAGAAACACUUGAUCAACACCCAGAAAAUCUAUAAGUGCAACAAGAUCACCUACUAUGUGAAAACCUGUGUAGCUACUAACUGAAGACGGAGCAUCGGUGUCACCAUAGCCACGGAGAUCGGGAGCAACAGCACGGUAGCCGAGGGAGCUGAGAGCUACAAUCUGGUGGCGCCAUGAAUACCAGAGUUCUGGGAAGCCAUGAAGGAACAAGACAACAGGUCCUUCUUUACCUUUCUCAGCAAUAUGCAUUUUGAUUCCAUUCACUUCCACUCUUCUGUGUUCUAUUCCUUCCAUCUGUGUUCUUUUUUUUGGGCUCAGAGCAACUGUGAAGAAAUUUCAAUAUUUUGAUGCUGUUGAUACUUGAUGAUACUUUAUAAUGGACAAAUGAGCCGACAUAAAUAGGUGGCUUAAUAAUAAUACAAUUAAAAUAUGUUGUUAGUGAUAAUUUUAUUUUUUUUUACACAUGUUAGUGAUAAUUAUUAAACACCACUAUAUUCCCACUUAGAAAUAUUUAUUUUUGUUGGCACCGAUUUUCAUUUGUUUCCGCUUGUUUGUCAAUUUCUCCGCCUAACUAACCAAUUUUCGUUUUGGUUACGAAAGUCAAAUCAAAAUUCUCUUGUUUGCUAAUUUAGGCGACGUUUAAAAUGGGAGCUCUCUAUUUUUUCUUUGAUGAAAAGCUUUAAUUCACCAUUGACAUUCAUAUGAUAUGAUCAGUAGAAUGACAUUCAGUGUAAACUUAUUGUUUUUAAGUGUUAGAAACAACAGGGUGAUUUAUCUACAUACACUCUGACAGAUAAGUUAGUAUUUAAGUUAGAAAGGAGGUCAAGAGUUAGAAUAGAUCGUAUUUAGAAGACAAUAUAAAGUAUUCUUAUGGAGGGUGGCGCAAGUUGCCGAUAUCUGACAUUCUUACUCUUUGCUCGUCCGUUACUGUCGAGCCGGAUUGACAAUGAUGGAGGCAGUUACGAUUCCUUGGCUUGAAUUGUUGCCCGAUUGCUGAGAGCACCCCUCAUGGAGGGGUGGGGGGUUUGAAUAUGUGUUGCUCCAUUCGAUUGUUCUUUUUAGAUGUGGUUUGAUAUUUGAUUUAUGUGUUAUGUUUCGUUUUGAUUUUUAAGGUACAAUUGAUUAAUUAUACUCUUUCUUCAUUGAAUUCGUAAAUGUAAUUACUGAUUUCCUCUUCAGCUUCUUGAUUGUUGAAGUGAGCAACUCCUUUUUGAACAAUCACUUCCUCCAAAUUCAGCACAUCUUCCUUGAAUCGUCCUCAAUGGAUAUACUCCUUCAAGUUAAACUAGGGGAGUGUUUGGAUGUCAAAAACUGAGUUUUUUUAUGUUUUAAAUCAAGUGUCAAGUAUGUGAGAACAUGAUUUAUGUUAUGGUAUUAUUCAGAAGCAGAUUGAAACGUAUCUUUCGAUACCUAGCAAUCGAAAGAUAUCUUUUGAUCAUAUCAUAUCAUAACUUCCGGUCGUUAUAUAAAUGACAAUUUUAGAAUUUUUAGGGGCCUAUGAGGAAGUAAGGUGACCCAAAGAGCGAUUUCCUGACAAUGAAAACUUCAUAUCGACACAAGUAAAAUACUAAAAUGUCUCCAGCGGCCGUUAACAACCGCUCAAUGUUACGGCGGCAGUUAACUACCGUUCACACCAGUGCACUCUGCACUAGUGCACUGGUUUUUCUAGGAACUUUGGCCUGUUUUUGCAUCCAAUUGGAAAUUAAAGCAAAUAACCAGGAUAUGUCGGGAAAUUAAAACGUACGUACAAAAUAAUAUUUAAUAGAUAAAAUUAAAAUGCAAGAACUAAUAUGAAAGGUAUGUCGGAAAAUGUCAUACAAAUACCAAAAUGUAAGGAACAUGUCAUAAUUAUACGUCACAGUAAAAAAGUACAUAAAAAAACCCUAAUCAUAAUCAACCCUGCUGCCUAGCAUGCCUCGGCCCCCUGCGCCGCCUGGCAAUCUGAUACGUAAGGGCAGGGCGACUAGUACCGGCUAUCCGCAUCACCUACUGGACAAUCUCCUCUUUAGUCAUCUCGGCUUGCCUAGCCACAAUAUCGCCAACUAUAUGCACCACAUCCCGGAUGAUCGUCAGUGUGUCAGGCAUCUCCCUGGCAUGCUCCUCCUCUAUGAUCUGCUCCACGUUCGCCGGCCUGGGAGGAGAUCCUUCAUCAGGUGGGAGAAUACGAGGGUGAGAGACUUUGGCAUACCAAACCAUGUAGCCAGGCACAUGAUGCCAUGGUCUCUCACACGCAUCUCCCCAAGCAGUAAAGAACCACGCCUGAGCGUUUUGCAGCACGGUUGUGAGAUCAUGCGUAGGCACCUGAGCGACAGAUGACGGAUGUCUGGAAACAUCUUGUACAUAGAAAAGUUGCAUCUUUACCCGCUCAGGUAAAUGACGGUACACCAUAUCCUUCCCGCACAUCAGCCAUCCCGAGUAAGUGACAAUAAGCUGAAAUGGAUGCACGACUCUGUGAUCACCAUAAGUAGAAAAUCUGACGUCAUCCACCUAUAAGCGAUCAAGCAGUAAGCGAUAAUGGUACACAUCAGUAUAUCAUCUGCUAGUAAGCCAUCUCCCAGCGUAUGGUCUCUCUGGCGUCCACUCCUUGUUUUUCUUCCUUGGGUACGGACCUAACAAAUGCUCCAAAAUCUAUCAGUGCAACAAAUAAAUAAAAUACAUUAUAAAUAUUAAAAUUAAUUAAGAAAUGCAGUCUAACUUAGGAAAAAAUAAUCUAACAUGAUAAUAAAAAUUAUAAAAUAAAUUCAUAAAUAAAUGAAGAUAAAUAUUAAAUUAUUACCAUAAAAAGAGUUGUACUCCCAGCCAUCGUUCUGUUAUUCAGAAUAACAGAAUCAUCCACAUAGUCGAACAGGUACGCUAAGGCCAUCCCUCCCCAUGACCACUUCCCAAUCGCCUGCAAGUCUGCCAUACAAUCAAGAUAUAUCAAGUCGAUGUGUCUGUUCGUUUUGUUAGUGAACAUCGCACAACCGACGAGAUAUAGAAGAAAACUCCUCACACACCACUGUCUCCUCCUGGCUCUCUCCUGCAGCUCCUCCCUCGUCUGUGGGUCGUCCAGCCGUCUAGCCUCUGUCAGGUGGUCUUCAUAAACCCGCUUCAGUGUGGGAUAACUGAUAUGACCAGCAGACUCAGUCCUAAUCUCAGAUCUAGCAUCAACAUCUGACAUGCCCAACAACCUGGUCAUCAAAUCAAUCACACGCUCCUGACUCAUUGCCUCAUCGUGGUCCAGCAUGCGGCUGUGAAUAGGAAUGUGUAGGAGAUUAUGCACAUCGUCCAAAGUGAUCGUCAUCUCCCACACAGGUAAAUGAAAACUAUUGGUCUCCGUGUGCCACCUCUCGCACAUAGCACGUAUCAUGGCAUGGGUCACGGUAGAAUACCCCGUGUAUAUCAAAUCAUGUAGGCCAUACCCCUCCACAGGCUCCCAAAACCACCUCAAACCCGCCUCCGGCUUACCAAGCUCUUUCAUCUUUUUCCCUGCAUUUAUACACUUGUAGCCCGUCUGAUCAUGCCACAUUUGAAAUUCAAAUUAAUUAAGACAUCGUCACUAAUUUAUAUAAUUAAAACACUUACGCUACAUUCUUUUAAAUAAUUAAAACACUUACGCUACAUAAUAUUAUAUAAUUAAAACACUUACGCUACAUAAUAUUAUAUAAUUAAAACACUAACGCUACAUUCUUUUAAAUAACUAAAACACUUACGCUACAUAAUAUUAUAUAAUUAAAACACUUACGCUGAGUCUGAGGCUCAGGUUCACCCUCAGGAAUAACAUUCUCUGCCUCCAUAUAAUCCGCCACAAAAUCCUCUGGCACCUCCGCAUCACCUGCCACCUCCUCAUCCUCUACCUCGUCCUCCGGCUGAUAAAACAUUAUAUCCUCCUCCAUCCGAUCAUAUCCUUGAAAUCCCUCCGAAUACUCAUACGUCUAUAUCGGAUCAACCACCUGGGAGGAGUAAUCCAUAUGUGGCUGUGAGCUCUCUACACCUGGCCUUGCGUCCCUCCGCUUCCGAGUCUUCGGGACAUACGGAUUUUGGUCCACCUUUUCCUUCUGAGCGCUAGCGGUACUCGCCGCUUUGCCUUUGCGCAUCCUAUCCUCUCUAAUAACCCGCUGCCGCUCAUCCUCGUCCCUAGCCAUAUCUGUUCAAAACAAAUUUAAAAAAACACAAAUAAGUGGACAAUGUAUUUAAGAAUACAAUGUAUUUAAGCAUUUCCUUAAAAACUAUAUACUUUUAAGGCAUUUAGCAUAGCAUAAAAAUCCAACCAAGUAACAUGUAACAUAUAAAAAAUGAAACUUAAGCAUUCAUACAAAUCCACACUCCUUCAAAAAAAAAAAAAUACAAAUUCACACUUAGAAUCCAAGCUUAUAAUAUACCACAUUUAUAUAACAUACCACAUUAUGUCAUUCUUCAAACUUGCCAAAAAAUUUAAAAAUCCAAGCUUAUAAUAAUUAUAACAUAUAUACUUUAUAAAAUUGAAGAUAUUUGAAAAUAAUUACACAAAAAAAGUAAGAUUUUCUCACUUAUGCAUUUUAUCAAACACCUUAUGAGCAUUCUAAAUUAGGAGCAUAAUUAGUGUUAUUUGAACAUCUAAAGGGCUACAUUGUACCUACAUUGUCUCUAAACAACAAUUACAACAUAAACAAUCCAUCAAAGCAUCUAAAUCAUGCUUAAUUUUCAAUUUUCUAACCUAACUUAAAACUAUCUAAAACUAACAUUUUGCUCAAAUUUAUGAAAACUAACACCCUAAACAAACUACAUUGCAUUUAAAUAGGAAGGAAAUAACUUACUUGUGAAUUAAUUGAUGAAAUUUAGCGCAAAUUCGUGAAAUACAAGUUUGGAGAAAUUUGGAAGUUGAAAUUUUAGUGUUUGUGUUUCUGCAAAAUGGAAAAAUGAGGGUUCUGUUCUCGUUUAUUCACAGAACGUAACGGUUGUUAACAACCGCUGACCCCAGCGGCAGUCAACUGCCGGCGGUUUAAAUAACGGUAGUUAACUACAUCGGAUGUAUUUAUGUAUUUUACUUAUGUCAAUAUGAACUUUCCUUUAGUCAGAAAAACAAUUUUCUUUCCUCUUUCAAACUGUGAGUAUAGUUACCAGGCGGGUACUACAAUUUUUCAAACCGAGUAUAGCUACAAUUUCUGCUGCCUGCUACGGUCUCAUAUACUCAGAUGGAAGAAUCACCGUUAAACACGUCACUAUUAUGAGCAUUGUUGAUGCACCAAAUUUCAUUGACCCCGUUUAAUUCAAAAUACUUGCUACAACAAUGGGAUUAUGUAGUAACCAAAAAAAAAAAAAAAACGGGAUUAUGUAUGUUGUGUAUUAUUAGGUACGUUAUUAUUAGUGACCCUUGUGGAGAGCUAUUUUGAACCAGAAAGAUACAUCCAGUAUUUAGAGUUAAAUGGUUACAGGAGAACAAUUGUUCUAAAUACAACACACGCAACUACUAAGAACCCGGAAAUAGACAUAGCAGCAAGAUUAUUUCAUUUGUAGAUAAGCUCAGAACUUCUUGAUGAAUUCAUAAAUGUGAUUACUUAUUUCCUCUGCUGCUUCUUGAUUGUUGAAGUGCGCCACUCCUUUUUGGAUAAUCACUUCUUCCAGAUUGGGAACAUCUUCCUUGAAUCCCCCACCAUGGAUAUACUCCUUCAUGUUUAGUGAGGUGUACACCAUAUCCAAAUCACCUGUAAUGAAUUUCACAGGCACCUUGAUUUUCACCCCAUUCCAUGGUGCCAUUAGCUCCCAAUUUCUGCAAUACAAGUAAUAAUGCAUCUUUCAUUAGAAUUGGGAUCUCUGUUUAUGAAACACUAACACAUACAUCGAAAACAACACUAAACAAAAACAUUGGACACGACAUUGACAAGUAGAUACCAAUAACAGUUUUAAAAUAGGAAGUGAUUGAAUAUAACAUGUGUCGGUGUCGGAUAUCAACACGUAUCGAACACUGGGCACGUCUUCAAACUGAAAUGUUAAUGCUGCAUAGAUUAUUGUCAUGUUGUUCAAACAUUUUACCAAAAAGAAUUGUCAACAUAUAUUUGUGGAAAACAACCAAAGGUAGCACAAAGAAUCAAAGGAUUACACGUUAAAGUUUCUAUAGUAGUUCAAUGCUCCAGUGAAGCCUGUUUUCUCAAAUUUGGAGACAAAAUAAGCAAG
rnacentral:lncRNA from 1 species